AUUUAAGUAGCUCAGAGGAUAGAGCAAUAGCAUAGGGCUAUUGGCGAAGGUUCGAAUCCUUCCUUAAAUA
rnacentral:tRNA from 1 species